CCAGAGCACGGAUUUCACCUCGUCUUUGAGAGAGAGACAGGGGAGAUAAGAAGAGAAAGAGAGAGAGCGACACACACAAAUUACCCCUACACACAGCGAUCGACCCGAUAUCGAGACACGAGGAAGACGCCAUCAUCACCGAGACCUCGGGUGAAGCCUCUCUCUGAUGGGUAUCCAGUCCACCCAGUCAUCCCAUCAGGGACGUUAGUAGGGGUCGGUGGAUCCUAGUCUUCUCUCACCCUGGACUAAAGUGACUCCAGCUUCAGAACUGAACCAUACAGCACCACCACUCACUGACUGGUAAGGAUAGUUAAUAUGCUAUUUAGCAGACACUUCUAUGCACAGCCGCACGUUUUGACUCUAGAGGCUCGAGAGCCACUCUGUUCCUUUUUUAAUUUUUAGGGAUACCUUAAGGGCUCUUAAAGUUCAAAAUCAAAUAGCUAAAUGAUCCUUGGUACGAUCCUUGAUAUGACCAUUUGAAAACAAUUCCAUAAAGCUUAGUAGAAUCCCCCUCCCCCAGCUUAGACAGGGCUUAGAGGGUUAAUGCUGUGACCCACCUUACACUAACAGUACAUUAUAACUAAUGAUGUGACCCACCUUACACUAACAGUACAUUAUAACUAAUGAUGUGACCCACCUUACACUAACAGUACAUUAUAACUAAUGAUGUGACCCACCUUACACUAACAGUACAUUAUAACUAAUGAUGUGACCCACCUUACACUAACAGUACAUUAUAACUAAUGAUGUGACCCACCUUACACUAACAGUACAUUAUAACUAAUGAUGUGACCCACCUUACACUAACAGUACAUUANNNNNNNNNNGGGAGCUGCAACGCAAAUGAACUGGGGCUAAUGAUCCAUCUGUAGAAGGGGGAGAAGGGGAGAAAGGACGGAGGGAUGGAGGGAGGAGAGAAGGAG
rnacentral:lncRNA from 13 species